rnacentral:rRNA from 1 species
AACGAACGCUGGCGGCAUGCCUAACACAUGCAAGUCGAACGAGACCUUCGGGUCUAGUGGCGCACGGGUGCGUAACGCGUGGGAACCUGCCUUUAGGUUCGGAAUAACUCAGAGAAAUUUGAGCUAAUACCGGAUGAUGUCUUCGGACCAAAGAUUUAUCGCCUUUAGAUGGGCCCGCGUUGGAUUAGCUAGUUGGUGGGGUAAAGGCCUACCAAGGCGACGAUCCAUAGCUGGUCUGAGAGGAUGAUUAGCCACACUGGGACUGAGACACGGCCCAGACUCCUACGGGAGGCAGCAGUGGGGAAUAUUGGACAAUGGGCGAAAGCCUGAUCCAGCAAUGCCGCGUGAGUGAUGAAGGCCUUAGGGUUGUAAAGCUCUUUUACCCGAGAUGAUAAUGACAGUAUCGGGAGAAUAAGCUCCGGCUAACUCCGUG